CAUUCUGAACUUGCAAGUAGUUGCAGGCUGUGCUCCGUGAAACCAUGGCCACUCGUCUGUUUGAGGAGAGGGCUCACGCUGCUAUUUAUCAAAAAUACAGGUUUUCCCCGCAGGAGAAUCUACAGGGCGUGAUCUUCUCAUACCUGGAAGAAAAGGUAAGAACAUAAUAGUGUGUGUCAGUCUGAACUUAUACCCGUAGAUCAUUGCAUUCGUAGAGUUGGCAUAUGUUAUAUAAAAGGAGAGCUCCAUUAUGAACUUUCUUGACUCUGAUACUAAUCUUUAUCCUGAAGAUGUCCUGGAAGGCUUCCUGGCCUUCUUAAUACUUGAGGAAAAAAUUAGCAUGGUAAAUGAUUCCUCUAGAAGACCCUUACCAUAACCUAACAUUGGUAUAUAACAGUACAGGCACUGAAAAACUCCCCCUCCCUUAUGUGGGGGUUGUGUUCUGAGGCCCCCACACACAUAAGUGAAAAUGUGCAACAUGGGGAGCACCCUUGAAAAAAACCUCUGAAUGCCUGCUUUCCCCUCCAGCUCUCCUCCUCUCUCUCCAAUCCAGACCAAAAUAUCUGGAGUUGAAGCUCUGGGGGCUGGAUGGAGGUUGUGAGGAAAGCGGCGGCAGAGGCAGCGCUACCUCCUGCGUCAGCUGCUAGACGAGGAGGCUGAGCAGCCUAAAACAAGGCCCUGUUGCGCCUCUGGUCCUUUCUAACUCCACGAUUCUACAGUGUCACUUUGCUGCCCGAAGUAAAUAUUCUGUCUCUUUCAUUUCUUGUAAACAACCAAUCUUUCAUUAUUCCUUUUCUGUGAAAACUUCUAGCAGGCAUAAGGCUAAGGGUAAACACAUAUUCAAAAUAAGCAAACAUUAGAAAUCUAGCAAAAGGUCUUAGACCCCUUGGUACUGUGCCUAGGUAGUAACAAGGGGGUGGCAGUGAUAUAAGAAGAAAAUGGAGUUGGCUUUUACCCAGCUAGUUCCUCCCGCCAUUUUUCUGCGUCCAAGCAGCCCAUGACAUUUUGUGUUAAUUCACGGCUGGUUUCACUGUGUUCGAGUGAAAACUGCUCAUGUAUCGGACCUAGAUGGGUAUAGUGGUACCUCGGGUUAAGUACUUAAAUCGUUCCGGAGGUCCGUUCUUAACCUGAAACUGUUCUUAACCUGAAGCAUCACUUUAGCUAAUGGGGCCUCCUGCUGCCGCUACGCUGCCGGAGCCCGAUUUCUGUUCUUAUCCUGAAGCAAAUUUCUUAACCUGAAGCACUAUUUCUGGGUUAGCAGAGUCUGUAACCUGAAGCGUAUGUAACCUGAAGCGUAUGUAACUUCCAUGUUGGGGAUUCCCCAUCCUCCUUCUGAGGUAGGGAGGUGCAGGUAUUUGGAGCUUAUUCUUGGUUUUUUCUGAGAUGUGUCGCUAUCUUUUCUCAGAGAGUGAGCCCCGGGCAGCUGGCAGUCGACGUGGGUUGUGGCUCGGGCCAAAGCACUCAGAUGCUGGCAAAACAUUUUGAGAAGGUGGUCGGGACAGACAUCAGUGAAGCUCAGAUCGAGGAGGCCAGGAGAGCUCCACAACCGCCCAAUGUCUCUUAUCUGUAAGUAGGAGCUGAUCUCGCACGUGGAUAGCCGAGAAAAAGCAGGCAGGAAGAGGCUUUUCUCCCUCUCUCAUCACACUAGAACUCUUGAAGCUGAAUGUUGGAAUAUUCAGGACCAACAAAAGAAAACACAGCUUCAUGCAGCGCAUGUUUAAACUAUGGAACUCCCUUCCACAUGAGGCAGGGAUGGCCACCAACUUGGAAGGCUUUAAACGAAGACUAGAGAAAUUAAGGAAGAGGCCUAUCAGUGGCUACUAGCCACGAUGCCUCUGCUGGACCUACAAGGUGGGCAGAGUGAAGGCCAGUUUUUCUGACUACCGGAAGCCGCAGGAGGGAACCCAUUUUGCUCAAAUCCUGCUUGUGGGCUUCCCCUUGUAUCUGGUAGGCCAUUGUGAGAACAGGAUGCUGGACUAGACGGGCCCAGGCCUGAUCCAAAGGCUUUCCUUAUGUUCUGAUGUUUGUGCACAGAGACACUUCCAAUUACUCCACAAAUUAGAUAAUAAGUAUUAAAAUAUGAAAGUAUAUUUAAAGCGCUAUCAUACCACUUUAAAUAGUCAUGGCUUCCCCCAGAGGAUUCUAGGAGCCAUCAUUUGUUACAGAUUUACAUAAGCAGCCCCGGAAUGUCUUACUUUUCCUUAGGACGUCCAAAUUUUCAUUCGAGGGUAUGGAGUUAUGCAACCAUACAACCUUAGAAGACACCUGAAGCACAGGGAAGGUUUUUGGGGUUUUUUUAAUGUGCAGUGUUUUGUUAUGUUUUUAUAUAUGUUGGAAGCCGCCCAGAGUGGCUGGAGCGACCCAGUCAGAUGGCUUGGGUAUAAAAAAUACACUGAUUAUGGAAUAGGACAUCCCUAUUUUCAUCGGAGAAAUGUUGGGUGGUAUAACGAUGGCUGUGCUCUGCCUCCACAGCUGGAGCCAGCAAUGCUAGUGAAUUCCAGUUGUUGGAAACCACUGAGGGGAGAGGAGUCUUGCACAGGGGCCAAGAAAGGGGGGUGCGGUGGGUGCGGUCCGCCCCAGGUGUCACCACUGAGGGGGUGACAAAAUGCUGGGCGGCACCCACCGCCGGGCCUGCAGUGCGCCCGAGCUACGCAUGUCUACUGGGAGUGACGCUGUGGCUGUAGGGUGGCUGAGUGGGAGAAGGCAGGCAGACUCUGGAGGCUCACCCACUGGGCGCACUGCCCCAGGCGCCCGAGCAGCUUCCUCUGCCGCUGGUCUUGCACCCAGGUUUUGUUUGCGGGUUUCCCAAUGGGGCAUCUGGCUGGCUACUGUGAGAACAGGAUGCUUAGCCAGAUGGGCCUUGGGCCUGAUCCAGCAGGCUUCGAACAAUCACCUUGCCAUCUCCUCCCACAGGGUGUGCCCUGCCGAAGACCUCCCUUUCGAAGAUGGCUCUGUGGACCUGGUCACGGCGUUUGCGGCCGUCCACUGGUUUGACGGGCCUCGCUUUCUGAGGGAAGUGGACCGAGUUCUCAAGCCGUCAGGCUGUGUGGUCUUCAGCUCCUACAACUGGGACAUGCAGUUGUGUUACAAAGAUUGUACAGACGAGUUAACCGAGAUCUUCAGAGAGGUCAGUCCAUCGCACAGGCCUCGGACCUGAGGUCUGCCCUCAGACCACAUAUUUCAGGGCUAUCCCUGCCAGUUUUCUAGCCCCAAAUGUCUGUGGGGUUGUUGUUGUUUUUAAGUGUCUUUCCUGUAGAAGGACAGAAGAGUCCUUCAGUCUAGGUUAAUUGAGCAAACCUACAAGUCCUGGAUGCAUUUUAAUCCCUCCUGCAAAACACUGGCACUAUGGAAAAGAAUAUCAUUUCAGGGCCCAGUCGUUUAUUACAGUAAUAUUUAUAAAGCCAGUUUCUACAAAGCACCAUGACUUUCAACACUUUUACCAACCCCCGCUCAGUAAUUAAAAUAGUCCAUAUAUACACACACACACACCACAUAAAAAAGACCUCCACACACACACACCACAUAAAAAAGACCGAGGUCUGACUAUAAUUUGGUAAAUACCAAUUUAAAAAACAUUAAAAACGUGUUACAUGAAAUAAAUAAAACUGACCAUUUCAAACACUUAUAGCUACUAAAACCUAGGUAGGCAUGUGGGAAUGAAAAAGUUUUUAGCCAGGUAUGUCAAUGGGCAGGCAGUUCCCAAGUGCUGCCACAAUAAAGGAUUGAUUUCUUGUAAGUGCUGAAUGAAUGUUACGUGACACUUGUGAAAGGGCCAGUUUCGCAGAUCCCAGCCAUCAAAUGGGCACAUACUGGGUGACAGUCUUGAAAUACAGUGGUACCUCGGGUUAAGUACUUAAUUUGUUCCGGAGGUCCGUUCUUAACCUGAAACUGUUCUUAACCUGAAGUUCCUGAAGCACUAUUUCUGGGUUAGCGGAGUCUGUAACCUAAAGCGUAUGUAACCUGAGGAACCACGCUACAUUAUUCUAUAGGCUGCCACACCUCACACAUUUCCUUCAGUGCUUUUAGUCUUUCCAUAUAGGGAGCAUCUGCAUGUUAAUCAUUUUUCUACUCCGGAUUUCUGCACCUUUAACAGCUCAGCAUCCUCUUUUAUGCAGCAUGCUUUGAACAGUGAGAUUUUGCAAGCAUAAAAAAAAUGACUGUGGCUUCCCACCCUCUCUCUCUCUCUCUCUCUCUCUCUCUUUUCCAGGUGGUAGACCAGCUUUUCACCUUUAGAAAUAAAAAGCUCAAAUCACUUGAGAAUGAUUACCAAGAAAUCUUUGAUUCUUUGCCCUUUCAGGAGAAGAAGAGGUGAGUGGAUCAGGCCCUUUUGUACAAUGCGGUGCAUGGACCCAGCCAUGCCAAUCUCUUCAAUCUCCUGCUAAAAACAUUUCUGUUCCACCAAGCUUAUGCAAACUAUUAAGAAUGCAUCCACAGUUGUUAAAUGAUACCUGUUUUCAACUUCUUCUUUUUUUUCCAACUUACUGAAUUUGUAAGUUGUAUGGUUUUCUUGCUGUAAACGGCUUUGAUAUAUUUUUAUGACACAGCAACGUACAAAUAUUUUUUUAACUAAACAAAUGCAAAUUGGGAAUUCCGGAACAAUGCUGUCAAAGUCACUAAGUUGAACAGCCACACUCCUCUGAGCAAACAUACAUAUGAUUGACAGCACUUCCGUAGUCAAAAGAUUUCCGUACUCUCAACUCAGCCCCAAACUUCUCCUAAAGCUUUCUGCUUCUUUCUAGGAUGAUGGAUAUUUUCGAUAAAAUUCCCCUGAGCAUUGCUGACGUAAUAGGAUAUAUCCAGUCACUCUCGCAGUACCGACUUUAUCUGGAAGCCCAGCCUGAGGAGGCGAAAUCACUUCUCCAAAACACAGAGCGAAGGUGACAAAAUCUGUUUGCUGGAGUAAGCCAGAUGUGGAAGGGCCAAGGAACCAUGGUUGUGCACUAGGAGAGUCGCAUUGAAGUCUUUAGCCUGUGAUAUUGCAUGUCUUUUCAUAGAUGGCAUGCAGUAGAAUUUACCAGUAACUGUUCUCAGUACGAGAUGCUAGCAAAGCAGAAGGGCUUGGAUUUCCAUAUGUUUUCCUGCAAUUAAAAUUCAGCUCCAAUAUGCACGGUGUAAUUUUUUAUUCAAAAGAUUCCCAUGUAUAGUAACAGAAUUGUAAAGUUGGAUGGGAACCACACACCCCGCCAAAAAAUUAGCCCAGGGAUGGAAGGAAGAGAUAACCAUGACCAGAAAAGAAUGGCAAACCAAGUUGAUGGCAAAAUUAACUGGGAAGCUCAGAAAUCAAGAAGACAAGAACUUUAAGAAAGAAUGGGGAAACUUUAUAAUUUAUCUACGAGACUACUGUAAGCAAGUUAAAACAUUAGCAGGAUUUUUAUCACAAUUGUAAAGUAACAGCAAGUAUGGAUAAUUUAGAAGGAUAAAAAUUUGGAUUAGUAUUGAUAUGCAGUUGUAAAUAUCAGUAGGACCCAUGGAAGGGAUGGGUGGGGGAAGUCAGGAGAUUCAGAGUAAUCUCAAUAUUUGGAUUUUUUUUUGUUACAUGUUUAUACUUUUUAAAAAUCAAAUUAAAAAAUUAUUUUAAAAAGGAAAUUAUUUUUAAAAUUAUUUAAAAAUUUUAAAAAAAUAUUUUAAAAAGGGACCCCUAAGGGCCAUCUAGUCCAACCCCCUGCACUGCAGGAAUCUCCGCUAACGCAUGUGAGUGGCGAAGUCAGGAGUGUUGCCAGAUGCCAGCUAUUCAUUUAAUCUGCAUAAGCCAUGCUUCAAACCUUAUGCCAGCUUUAUGUCCUCAGUCCCAUUUCCCCACACCUUCUGUUUGCCGCAUUUUAUUGUACCAGUUUGUCAAAGAGGCAGCCUCCCAAAUUCUUCUAAGUAUCUCACCAUUAUGCGCCUGGCUGCCGUCAAAAGAAGAACUUGUUUGAACUGUGAAAAGAUGGAGCGGUGCUAGCUCUGGACAUUUCAAGGUGUUUCGUCCAGUAAUUGUUUUCAUUUCAAUGAAUCCCGGAACUGAACCCUGGUUUCUGCUCUCUUGCUUUCCUUCCCCUAGGUUUCUGGAGACGAUGGGCGUUUCUUCUCGGGAUACCCAGCUGGAGUUGCGCACGAAGCACAUUUGCGUCUUGGGCUGCAAGAGCUCCUAAGAGGAAUGUCAGUCUAAAUGCACAGGGCAGGGCGCAUGCGUAGGUCACUGGGUGGCUUCCUCUGAAACUGGAGGUCGGUAUCAUAUUUUACCUGCUCCUCACAUGUAGAAUCAUGUGCAUUGUUAAAAAUCUUUUCAUUUGGUAUCAUAAUAAAACAGAACUGAGUUGAAUAGUGAA